rnacentral:rRNA from 1 species
AUUGAACGCUGGCGGCAGGCCUAACACAUGCAAGUCGAGCGGAUGAAGGGAGCUUGCUCCUGGAUUCAGCGGCGGACGGGUGAGUAAUGCCUAGGAAUCUGCCUGGUAGUGGGGGAUAACGUCCGGAAACGGGCGCUAAUACCGCAUACGUCCUGAGGGAGAAAGUGGGGGAUCUUCGGACCUCACGCUAUCAGAUGAGCCUAGGUCGGAUUAGCUAGUUGGUGGGGUAAAGGCCUACCAAGGCGACGAUCCGUAACUGGUCUGAGAGGAUGAUCAGUCACACUGGAACUGAGACACGGUCCAGACUCCUCCGGGAGGCAGCAGUGGGGAAUCUUGGACAAUGGGCGAAAGCCUGAUCCAGCCAUGCCGCGAGUGUGAAAAAGGUCUUCGGAUUGUAAAGAACUUUAAGUUGGGAGGAAGGGCAGUAAGUUAAUACCUUGCUGUUUUGACGUUACCAACAGAAUAAGCACCGGCUAACUUCGUG